rnacentral:rRNA from 1 species
GGCCAUUGCUAUCGGAGUCCGAUUUAGCCAUGCUAGUCGAGCGAGGUUAGCCCUCGCGGCGAACAGCUCAGUAACACGUGGCCAAGCUACCCUGCAGAGGGGGACAGCGUCGGGAAACUGACGGGAAUCCCCCAUACCGGUCUCACGCUGGAAUGCCGAGACCGACAAACGCUCCGGCGCUGCAGGAUGCGGCUGCGGCCGAUUAGGUAGUCGGUGGGGUAACGGCCCACCGAGCCGAUAAUUGGUACGGGGUGUGAGAGCACGAGCCCGGAGACGGAAUCUGAGACAAGAUUCCGGGCCCUACGGGGCGCAGCAGGCGCGAAACCUUUACACUGCACGACAGUGCGAUAGGGGGACUCCGAGUGCGAGGGCAUAGAGCCCUCGCUUUUCUGUACCGUAAGGUGGUACAGGAAGAAGGGCUGGGCAAGACCGGUGCCAGCCGCCGCGGUAAUACCGGCAGCCCAAGUGAUGGCCGAUAUUAUUGGGCCUAAAGCGUCCGUAGCUGGCCGGACAAGUCCGUUGGGAAAUCCGCACGCUUAACGUGCGGGCGUCCAGCGGAAACUGUCCGGCUUGGGACCGGAAGACCCGAGGGGUACGUCCGGGGUAGGAGUGAAAUCCCGUAAUCUCGGACGGACCACCUGUGGCGAAAGCGCCUCGGGAAGACGGAUCCGACAGUGAGGGACGAAAGCCAGGGUCUCGAACCGGAUUAGAUACCCGGGUAGUCCUGGCCGUAAACGAUGUCCGCUAGGUGUGACGCAGGCUACGAGCCUGCGUUGUGCCGUAGGGAAGCCGUGAAGCGGACCGCCUGGGAAGUACGUCUGCAAGGAUGAAACUUAA